ACUGCGAGUGAAGAGGGAAAAGCUCAAAUUUAAAAUCUGGCAGUGUUUCACUGUCCGAGUUGUAACCUAGAGAAGUGUAACCUGCGCUGGACCGUGUAUAAGUCUCCUGGAAUGGAGCAUCACUGAGGGUGAGAAUCCCGUCUUUGACACGGAUCACCAGUGCAUUGUGGUUGUGCUCUCAACGAGUCGAGUUGUUUGGGAAUGCAGCUCUAAAUGGGUGGUAAAUUCCAUCUAAAGCUAAAUAUUGGCGAGAGACCGAUAGCGAACAAGUACCGUGAGGGAAAGAUGAAAAGAACUUUGGAAAGAGAGUUAAACAGUAUGUGAAAUUGUUGAAAGGGAAACGUUUGAAGUCAGUCGCGUUGGUUGGGGAUCAGCCUGACAUUGUUGGGUGUACUUCCUGGUCGACGGGCCAACAUCAGUUUUGAUUGCCAGAAAAAGGCCAAAGGAAUGUGGCACCUUUGGGUGUGUUAUAGCCCUUGGUCGUAUAUGGUGGUUGGGACUGAGGAAAGCAGCGUGCCGAAAGGCCGGGUUUCGACCACGUUCACGCUGAGGAUGUUGGCAUAAUGGCUUUAAGCGACCCGUCUUGAAACACGGACCAAGGAGUCUAACAUGCAUGCGAGUGUUUGGGUGGAAAACCCUUACGCGUAAUGAAAGUGAAAGUUGAGAUCCCUGUCGUGGGGAGCAUCGACGCCCGGACCAGAACUUUUGGGACGGAUCUGCGGUAGAGCACGUAUGUUGGGACCCGAAAGAUGGUGAACUAUGCCUGAAUAGGGUGAAGCCAGAGGAAACUCUGGUGGAGGCUCGUAGCGAUUCUGACGUGCAAAUCGAUCGUCAAAUUUGGGUAUAGGGGCGAAAGAC
rnacentral:rRNA from 1 species